CCCGGUGAUCUAGCCAUGGGCAGGUUGAAGGUUGGGUAACACUAACUGGAGGACC
rnacentral:rRNA from 1 species